rnacentral:rRNA from 1 species
UACGGGGUAGAGCUUUGGCUCCCUGAAUGUUAGCGGCGGACGGGUGAGUAACACGUGGGUAACCUGCCUGUAAGACUGGGAUAACUCCGGGAAACCGGGGCUAAUACCGGAUGGUUGUUUGAACCGCAUGGUUCAGACAUAAAAGGUGGCUUCGGCUACCACUUACAGAUGGACCCGCGGCGCAUUAGCUAGUUGGUGAGGUAACGGCUCACCAAGGCGACGAUGCGUAGCCGACCUGAGAGGGUGAUCGGCCACACUGGGACUGAGACACGGCCCAGACUCCUACGGGAGGCAGCAGUAGGGAAUCUUCCGCAAUGGACGAAAGUCUGACGGAGCAACGCCGCGUGAGUGAUGAAGGUUUUCGGAUCGUAAAGCUCUGUUGUUAGGGAAGAACAAGUGCCGUUCAAAUAGGGCGGCACCUUGACGGUACCUAACCAGAAAGCCACGGCUAACUACGUGCCAGCAGCCGCGGUAAUACGUAGGUGGCAAGCGUUGUCCGGAAUUAUUGGGCGUAAAGGGCUCGCAGGCGGUUUCUUAAGUCUGAUGUGAAAGCCCCCGGCUCAACCGGGGAGGGUCAUUGGAAACUGGGGAACUUGAGUGCAGAAGAGGAGAGUGGAAUUCCACGUGUAGCGGUGAAAUGCGUAGAGAUGUGGAGGAACACCAGGUGGCGAAGGCGACUCUCUGGUCUGUAACUGACGCUGAGGAGCGAAAGCGUGGGGGAGCGAACAGGAUUAGAUACCCUGGUAGUCCACGCCGUAACGAUGAGUGCUAAGUGUUAGGGGGUUUCCGCCCCCUUAGUGCUGCAGCUAACGCAAUUAAGCACUCCGCCCUGGGGAGUACGGGUCGCAAGACUGAAACCUCAAGGAAUUGAACAGGGGGCCGCAACAAGCCGGUUGGAGCAUGGGUGGGUUUAUAAAUUUUUCG